rnacentral:snoRNA from 1 species
AAUCUGUGGUGGGGAAAUUUUUGAAUCAACAUUUUGAAGCAUUCCCACACCUCAUAAAAGAUUUCUCCUUCAUUCUGUCUAAAGACAACAAUCUCUCUUCUUAAUAGGACU